AUUUUGGCCUUUUUUUGUUGUCCUUGUUGGAUUUCUACCAGAUAUUUGAAUAUUCUCUUGCAUGUUUUAACUCUUAAAGAUUAGAUUCGUAGACACCAUAUUAAAGCUAUACAAAUAUUUUUGUUUUAUCUGACCUACAUGAGUACAAAUUAGCAAUCAUGCUGUUUUCCUCUAAAAUGUAUUGUGGAAAAUUCCUGGUGUUCAGUUUAUUUCACCUGAUUUUUUUUAAUAGAUAACAUGGCAUUGUUGUGUGACUUCUGAUACAGUUUAUUUUGACUAAUGAAUUUUGAAUUAUCAACCUACAAUUUUUAGUUUACCACUUAUCUCUUACAGAAGCAAGGGAUUCCCUACCCCUAGAUUUUUAGUAACACCUUAAAAAUGUAUUGAAAACAAAAAUUAAGUUACAUGUCAUAAUCUCAGAAGUAGACAUACAGAUAUACCUGUCAACAUUUUUUCUCAUUAUAAACCAAUUUCAACUCACAUCAGAGUUAUAAUUUCAAAGCCAGACAUGAUACUGGUUUAAAAUGAAUGUUAUGUUUUUAAUGUUUCUUCUCUCCCCAAAAAGCAGCAAUAGUAGUAGAUUUAACAAUACCAUAGACUCAUGACUAUGAAAUCGUGGCUAUUUGUGUUAACAUGUUGUUCCUGUUGUUGAUGUGAUACAAAGCUCCUGCAAAACAGCUGGCACAGUCCAGUGCACUGGCUUCCCUCACUGGACUCGGUAAGUGUUUUCCAUAUUUGUGAGAGGGCCUAAAGGGAAAAAUCACACAUACAUUGUCUCUCUGCGUAUUCUAUUUUGAAACUGUAUUAGUCCUACUCAGUUUAUAAAAACCUAGGUCUUAGGGUUAUGUCAUCCUGUCUAAAAAGGUUUGCCUAUUUUUUUGACUAACGCAUUCACAGUGAGAAAUUUAUAAAUGUGAUGGUUAAUUCAUAGUUUAUUGGGGCAGGUUAUAUUGGAAGAUUUCCUUAUUGCUCCAAUAUAUGCAUUUUAUAUAUAUAUAAUUAUAUAUGAACACCUAUAGUUUGUACUUAAUAAUUCAUAAUUUAGCCAUGAUAGUAUCUAAGCUCACUUUCAGAAUUAUUGCAUACAUGCCUUAGGGAAGAACCUAUCCACUAAUGCUUUUAAUAACUUACAUAGAUUGUGUUGCGGCAAGUCAAGUUUUAAUAUAGAGGAAAGGGUUUAUCUUAUCAUAGUAAAAUAGUAGUGAUGUGUUCAUAAUUUACUAUUUGCAUGGUAUUAUUAUCAAGGCUGUAAAAGCUUGAAUUUGCCUUUUCCACAUCUUCAUUUCAAAUUAAUUUUUGUGAGGACCCAGAGAAGUGGGUAGAACCAAAUGCCCAUGUGGUUUUGUUAUGGUUAUUUAGAUCAUUUCAGGGUGGGGAGUAUUUUCAGCACCAUAAUAUUUCUGUACCAGGGAGAUUAUAGUAUUCUAAUUUUUUUAGGGAAAAAUUGCUUAGCUCUAGGGAUUUCUAAACUUUGAACAAUAAAAGUUAAUUUUAGAAAUACUUUCAGGGUCAUCAUUAAGCUUUAGCGUGGCUUUGUUACUGCCCUGUUAAGUAGUUUUGUUGGUUAGUAUGGACAGUACAGCAAACCCAUUAUGAUUCCUUUACACUGAGAAAAAUAUGAAAUAGUCCAGAAAGAAUAAGAUAUUAAGUAACCUUUGCCUGAAGGUUCUGUGAACUCCUUAAGCGUUUGAAUGUAUACUUCUCCCCACCCCGAAUAAGCGUAUUCUUCUGGGAAAAGGCAAUGAAAAAAGAAAUGAACUUUCUUCUCAGACCUUGAAAAGUUUUUAGUGCAUAGUAUAAUUUUUUUCAUAUGAUAGACUGAGCUUUAUGCACACAGGUGGACUGGGUGGUUAUGGAUCAGGAGACAGUGAAGAUGAGAGGAGUGACAGAGGAUCUGAGUCAUCUGACACUGAUGAUGAAGAAUUACGGCAUCGAAUCCGGCAAAAACAGGAAGCUUUUUGGAGAAAAGAAAAAGAACAGCAGCUAUUACAUGAUAAACAGAUGGAAGAAGAAAAGCAGCAAACAGAAAGGGUUACAAAAGAGAUGAAUGAAUUUAUCCAUAAAGAGCAAAAUAGUUUAUCACUACUAGAAGCAAGAGAAGCAGACGGUGAUGUGGUUAAUGAAAAGAAGAGAACUCCAAAUGAAACCACAUCAGUUUUAGAACCAAAAAAAGAGCAUA
rnacentral:sRNA from 1 species